UUCACUAGCCAUUUGGGCCAUGACUGGGGUGAUUUACUGGCCUGACUAGAUUUUUACUAGCCAUGGGCUAGCGGGCCAGUGGCUAUUUCGAACAAUUAGACAAAUGUGUUGGUCAUUUGUCAGAACACCAAUACCAGCUGACAUUUCAAGUAAUUGUAAAAUACAAGAGAGAUAUUGGGUUGUCGCUUGUUUUAUUGAUCUUGGUGCCAAUCCUCAAAGCAUUUGUAGUGUUACGAGCUAUCGUAACUAUAUAGUUUAUUGUUGGCUUACAGAUAUCAUAGUGCUACAAACGCUUUAAGGAUCGGUACCCUGUAGACAACAAACAAACUGAAAUUAGCAGAAUAUUGGAACAUUUCAGACAUGGCAGUUGAUUAAGUUUACCUUUAGUCAUUGAAUGAAACUGGUUACUACUGCUGUUUUGAUGUUGUCCGUUCUGUCAGAAUUACCAGAAUAUAUAUGAGAAGACAACUCUUAUUCUGAGAACCUUGUAUAUAAAUAAUCUGGGCUAGUACA